CCUACGGGGGGCUGCAGUGAGGAAUAUUGGUCAAUGGACGAGAGUCUGAACCAGCCAAGUAGCGUGAAGGAUGACUGCCCUAUGGGUUGUAAACUUCUUUUAUAUGGGAAUAAAACGUUCCACGUGUGGGAUUUUGUAUGUACCAUAUGAAUAAGGAUCGGCUAACUCCGUGCCAGCAGCCGCGGUAAUACGGAGGGUCCGAGCGUUAUCCGGAUUUAUUGGGUUUAAAGGGAGCGUAGGUGGAUUGUUAAGUCAGUUGUGAAAGUUUGCGGCUCAACCGUAAAAUUGCAGUUGAAACUGGCAGUCUUGAGUACAGUAGAGGUGGGCAGAAUUCGUGGUGUAGCGGUGAAAUGCUUAGAUAUCACGAAGAACUCCGAUUGCGAAGGCAGUUCACUGGACUGCAACUGACACUGAGGCUCGAAGGUGUGGGUAUCAAACAGGAUUAGAUACCCCAGUAGUC
rnacentral:rRNA from 1 species